UUUUUUGGAUCUGUAU
rnacentral:sRNA from 1 species